UGGGCAGGUUGAAGGUUGGGUAACACUAACUGGAGGACCGAACCGACUAAUGUUGAAAAAUUAGCGGAUGACCUGUGGCUGGGGGUGAAAGGCCAAUCAAACCGGGAGAUAGCUGGUUCUCCCCGAAAGCUAUUUAGGUAGCGCCUCGUGAAUUCAUCUCCGGGGGUAGAGCACUGUUUCGGCUAGGGGGCCAUCCCGGCUUACCAACCCGAUGCAAACUGCGAAUACCGGAGAAUGUUAUCACGGGAGACACACGGCGGGUGCUAACGUCCGUCGUGAAGAGGGAAACAACCCAGACCGCCAGCUAAGGUCCCAAAGUCAUGGUUAAGUGGGAAACGAUGUGGGAAGGCCCAGACAGCCAGGAUGUUGGCUUAGAAGCAGCCAUCAUUUAAAGAAAGCGUAAUAGCUCACUGGUCGAGUCGGCCUGCGCGGAAGAUGUAACGGGGCUAAACCAUGCACCGAAGCUGCGGCAGCGACACUGUGUGUUGUUGGGUAGGGGAGCGUUCUGUAAGCCUGUGAAGGUGUGUCGUGAGGCAUGCUGGAGGUAUCAGAAGUGCGAAUGCUGACAUAAGUAACGAUAAAGCGGGUGAAAAGCCCGCUCGCCGGAAGACCAAGGGUUCCUGUCCAACGUUAAUCGGGGCAGGGUGAGUCGACCCCUAAGGCGAGGCCGAAAGGCGUAGUCGAUGGGAAACGGGUUAAUAUUCCCGUACUUGGUGUUACUGCGAAGGGGGGACGGAGAAGGCUAUGUUGGCCGGGCGACGGUU
rnacentral:rRNA from 1 species